UGUUGUUUUCACGUACGUUAUUAAACGUUCGAUUUGAGGAAAUAAAAAUAUAAUGUUCCACCACCCACAUAAUGUUCAUGAUAUUAUUUUCUUGGUUUGCGACAUAUUUUUUGGUGCAUCAAUAUAACUAUACUCGACUGUCCAAGUAUAUUCAGAUGAGGAACCAGAUGUCAAUAUAGGCCGAACACUACGAUUUUCAAAUGAUUACCAUGAUUUCCGUGAUUACCGAAAGAUUACUAAAGCAUAGUACACUCACCGCAGUACUACAUAUUAUGACUGAUACGUAUUUCGUAUUUCCUUAUUGAAAAUCAUUGUACCUACAUACUAUACAGAUAUGAGAGUGUUAUAACAUAUUUGUACAAAUUUUUAUAUCAAAUAAUUUAAUUUGACAAAAUAAAAAACAUGGAAACUACAAAUACUACACUAAACAGUACAACUUUACAGUCGGAACUAUUUCUAGAAUUGAACGAGGAACAUGAAUCUGGUGACACUCAUGAUAUC